GUCCCAGUAGCUCAGUUGGAUAGAGCAUUCGCCUCCUAAGCGAAAGGUCGUAGGUUCGACUCCUAUCUGGGACGCCA
rnacentral:tRNA from 1 species